AAGAACCUAAGCUGAUGACUUAUUAAUUAUGUAGCUUAAGAAACCUUUUACAGUGUCAAUGUACCUAACAGCUGUUGAUUUGUUUGUUUCUAUUAGGAUACUGUAUCAAACGUUUGCUACUCACCUGGCACCAAAGUGCUGAAGGAGAUGGACGUAGUGAAGGCUACAGUUGCGUUGAUUGACAGACACCACAGUGAUAUGCCUGCAACAAAUGCACUUCAAGAGGUUAUCAAACAUAGGAUAUUCACCUGCGACUUAAGUGUUGGAGGAGGUUGACGUAGUGCAGGCUACAGUUGCGUUACUUCCCUCAAUAAACUUUUGCUACGAUUGACUGUCACCUCAGUGAUAUGACUGCAACAAGGAAUGUCAAAAUGUUAGACGUUAUCAAACAUAGGAUAUUCACCUGCGACUUAAGUGUUGGAGGAGGUUGACGUAGUGCAGGCUACAGUUGCGUUACUUCCCUCAAUAAACUUUUGCUACGAUUGACUGUCACCUCAGUGAUAUGACUGCAACAAGGAAUGUCAAAAUGUUAGACGUUAUCAAACAUAGGAUAUUCACCUGCGACUUAAGUGUUGGAGGAGGUUGACGUAGUGCAGGCUACAGUUGCGUUACUUCCCUCAAUAAACUUUUGCUACGAUUGACUGUCACCUCAGUGAUAUGACUGCAACAAGGAAUGUCAAAAUGUUAGACGUUAUCAAACAUAGGAUAUUCACCUGCGACUUAAGUGUUGGAGGAGGUUGACGUAGUGCAGGCUACAGUUGCGUUACUUCCCUCAAUAAACUUUUGCUACGAUUGACUGUCACCUCAGUGAUAUGACUGCAACAAGGAAUGUCAAAAUGUUAGACGUUAUCAAACAUAGGAUAUUCACCUGCGACUUAAGUGUUGGAGGAGGUUGACGUAGUGCAGGCUACAGUUGCGUUACUUCCCUCAAUAAACUUUUGCUACGAUUGACUGUCACCUCAGUGAUAUGACUGCAACAAGGAAUGUCAAAAUGUUAGACGUACAACAUACUUACUAUUAAAUAAUUAUACUACUAUUAAUGCUAUUACUUUAAUUCAAAUGGCUCU